GAUGAACGCUGGCGGCGUGCCUAAUACAUGCAAGUCGAGCGAACAGACGAGGAGCUUGCUCCUCUGACGUUAGCGGCGGACGGGUGAGUAACACGUGGAUAACCUACCUAUAAGACUGGGAUAACUUCGGGAAACCGGAGCUAAUACCGGAUAAUAUAUUGAACCGCAUGGUUCAAUAGUGAAAGACGGUUUUGCUGUCACUUAUAGAUGGAUCCGCGCCGCAUUAGCUAGUUGGUAAGGUAACGGCUUACCAAGGCAACGAUGCGUAGCCGACCUGAGAGGGUGAUCGGCCACACUGGAACUGAGACACGGUCCAGACUCCUACGGGAGGCAGCAGUAGGGAAUCUUCCGCAAUGGGCGAAAGCCUGACGGAGCAACGCCGCGUGAGUGAUGAAGGUCUUCGGAACGUAAAACUCUGUUAUUAGGGAAGAACAAAUGUGUAAGUAACUAUGCACGUCUUGACGGUACCUAAUCAGAAAGCCGCGGCUAACUACGUG
rnacentral:rRNA from 1 species